GACGAACGCUGGCGGCGUGCCUAAUACAUGCAAGUCGAACGCUUCUUUCCUCCCGAGUGCUUGCACUCAAUUGGAAAGAGGAGUGGCGGACGGGUGAGUAACACGUGGGUAACCUACCCAUCAGAGGGGGAUAACACUUGGAAACAGGUGCUAAUACCGCAUAACAGUUUAUGCCGCAUGGCAUAAGAGUGAAAGGCGCUUUCGGGUGUCGCUGAUGGAUGGACCCGCGGUGCAUUAGCUAGUUGGUGAGGUAACGGCUCACCAAGGCCACGAUGCAUAGCCGACCUGAGAGGGUGAUCGGCCACACUGGGACUGAGACACGGCCCAGACUCCUACGGGAGGCAGCAGUAGGGAAUCUUCGGCAAUGGACGAAAGUCUGACCGAGCAACGCCGCGUGAGUGAAGAAGGUUUUCGGAUCGUAAAACUCUGUUGUUAGAGAAGAACAAGGACGUUAGUAACG
rnacentral:rRNA from 1 species